CCUACGGGUGGCAGCAGUGGGGAAUAUUGCACAAUGGGCGCAAGCCUGAUGCAGCCAUGCCGCGUGUGUGAAGAAGGCCUUCGGGUUGUAAAGCACUUUCAGCGGGGAGGAAGGCGUUAAGGUUAGUAACCUUGGCGAUUGACGUUACCCGCAGAAGAAGCACCGGCUAACUCCGUGCCAGCAGCCGCGGUAAUACGGAGGGUGCAAGCGUUAAUCGGAAUUACUGGGCGUAAAGCGCACGCAGGCGGUCUGUCAAGUCGGAUGUGAAAUCCCCGGGCUCAACCUGGGAACUGCAUUCGAAACUGGCAGGCUAGAGUCUUGUAGAGGGGGGUAGAAUUCCAGGUGUAGCGGUGAAAUGCGUAGAGAUCUGGAGGAAUACCGGUGGCGAAGGCGGCCCCCUGGACAAAGACUGACGCUCAGGUGCGAAAGCGUGGGGAGCAAACAGGAUUAGAUACCCUAGUAGUC
rnacentral:rRNA from 1 species